ACUUUUAUUGAUGGGAUUUUGCCCCGAGCACUUUCAGACAUUUGACCUACCAGGCCAACGGAGCUGCCUAGUUCCGAUCCAGCGACGCCAAAGCUCCUUCCUUCCUCCACCUGUCCCACCGGCGACCAGCCAGGAAAUGGCGGAAAUGAGCUCCCUGCCGGUGACCGACGACCUCUUGGCGGAGAUCUUCCUCCUCCUGCCCACCCCGGCCGACCUCGUCCGCGCCUCGGCGGCCUGCGUCGCUUUCCGCCGGCUCGUCACGGACCGCCCAUUCCUCCGCCGCUUCCGCUCCCUCCACGCCCGACCCUUCCUCGGCUUCCUCAACCACAAGGGCUUCCACCCCGCCCGCCCGCCCCACACCUCCGCGCCCGCCGCCAGCGCCGUCUCCCUCGCCGCCGAUUUCUCCUUCUCCUUCCUCCCUUCCCACGACAGCUGGAUCGUCCGGGACGUCCGUGACGGCCGCGUCCUCCUCGACCGCACCCCCGAGGACGUCGCCGGGGAGGAAUCCCCCGUCUUCACGGAGCUCGCGGUGUGCGACCCUCUCCACCGGCGGUGCGUCCAGCUCCCCCCAAUCCCUGACGACCUGGCCGUUUCGGUGGAGCACCCGCUCCGCGUGGAGUUCGAGCGCUGGUGCGAGCCCUUCCUGGCUCCCCCCGGCGAGGAGGCAACGGAAGAAACAUCAUUCAGAGUGAUCUGGAUGGCGCAGUGCAAAACGAAGCUGGUCGCCUUCGUCUUCUCCUCGAGCACCGGAGAAUGGCGAGCCGUUGCGUCUCAGAGCUGGGGCGAUUUGUUAGUGGGCACUGGCGUGUCGACGGCGUCGUCCAAGAGCCCUGUAUUCUUCGGCCGGCAAUACGCUUGUGGCUGCUUCUACUGGGUCAUGGACUGGAGACAGAAAUUGCUCAUGCUUGACACCCAGAUGAUGGAGUUCUCCAUUGCCGACCUCCCACCUGGCUACCGAAGGCCACCGAUUGCCAUUGUGGAUGCGGGGGAAGGCAGACCUGGGAUGUUUGCUGUCCGUGAAAACGAUGCAGUUGGCACAUUUGACCUCUAUUAUACCAUCAGGCGAAACGAAGGUCAGAGUUUCAACCAGUGGCAGAUGGAGAAGACGAUCCCAUUGGAAUCCGGGUACCGGUAUUACCUGAGAGGUGCAACAGAGAGGUAUUUGCUACUACUAAGAUCUGAAGAUGACUCCGCAAGUUCAUCAUCGUUAGAGAUGUCAGGCACGGAAUGUUUCUCAUUGGAUGUCAAGACAUUGCAGCUUGAGAGCAUCUGCAGGUUGAAGCAUCACAUCCUACGCGCACACAUAUAUACCAACUUCCCACCAUCGUUGUCGUCCCAGACAAUAUGAAGUGAACCAAUCAAAGUGGUGAACUGGCAAGAACUUGUGCUUCAAAGAUAUUUAGCCCUCACUAUCAAUUAGAGCAAUUACACAGAUUCACUGGAGUCAUAGUCACUAGGCAGAGCAGCCAUUCAAAUCCAGAACUCAAAGUGAUUGGUGUGAUCUUGUUGUAUGAAGUGUUGGGCUAAUUUCACAAUAAAGAUGCAUUAUUGUAAACCGAUUGUGCAUGAGGGUUAUAUAUAUACUUGUAUGCAAGUGGCCGCAACUUGUAUAUUAUUGUUUCCUGCUCAGGACAUGUAUGUCGUCUGGCCUAAGAAAUGAGACUGAUAACAUUCUUUUCGUUUC